rnacentral:tRNA from 1 species
GGCCUCGUAGCUCAGUUGGUUAGAGCGUUGGCUGUGCUAAGGCCUUCCCCUUGCUGGCGUGCGUUCGAAUCCACCGAGGCCG